rnacentral:rRNA from 1 species
GAUGAACGCUAGCGGCAGGCUUAACACAUGCAAGUCGAGGGGCAUCACGGGUAGCAAUACCUGGUGGCGACCGGCGCAAGGGUGCGUAACGCGUGAGCAACAUGCCCUAUACAGGGGGAUAAUCCAGGGAAACUUGGUCUAAUAUCCCAUAGCAUUUAGAGGUGGCAUCACCAUUAAAUUAAAGCUUCGGUGGUAUAGGAUUGGCUCGCGUGACAUUAGCUAGAUGGUGGGGUAACGGCUCACCAUGGCUAUGAUGUCUAGGGGUUCUGAGAGGAAGACCCCCCACACUGGGACUGAGACACGGCCCAGACUCCUACGGGAGGCAGCAGUGAGGAAUAUUGGACAAUGGAUGGAAAUCUGAUCCAGCCAUGCCGCGUGCAGGAAGACGGCCCUAUGGGUUGUAAACUGCUUUAUAUGGGAGCAAUAAGGUCUACGAGUAGACCGAUGAGAGUACCAUAUGAAUAAGCAUCGGCUAA